GGAGAGGUGUCUGAGUGGUUUAAAGUACCGGUCUUGAAAACCGGCGUAACGUUAUGUUACCGAGGGUUCAAAUCCCUCCUUCUCCG
rnacentral:tRNA from 1 species